AAGUCGUAACAAGGUUUCCGUAGGUGAACCUGCGGAAGGAUCAUUACUAACGUUAUCCAACGUACCCACCCAUGUGCACUGUUAUUCCUCCCUCUCCUACGGGUGAGGCAUUUUUGAUUAAUACAAACUCGAUUCAUCGCUGCAUCAGUUGAUAAAUCCUGUUGGACUUUUGCCUUGCAGAGUUCAGCACGUUUUGAUCUAAUAAAACGUAAAAUGAUACAACUCUUAGCAAUGGAUGUCUUGGCUCUUG
rnacentral:misc_RNA from 1 species